rnacentral:rRNA from 1 species
UACAGAGGGUGCGAGCGUUAAUCGGAUUUACUGGGCGGAAAGGGCGCGUAGGCGGCCUGUUAAGUCGGACGGGAAAUCCCUCGGCUCAACCGGGGAACUGCGUCCGAUACUGGCGGGCUUGAAUUCGGGAGAGGGAUGUGGAAUUCCAGGUGUAGCGGUGAAAUGCGUAGAUAUCUGGAGGAACACCGGUGGCGAAGGCGGCAUCCUGGACCGACAUUGACGCUGAGGCGCGAAAGCCAGGGGAGCAAACGGG